CUAGCUGACCUUUCAUAAUAUAUGGGUAUAUAUAUAUUGGGGGAAUAUCAAGUGGGAAUGACAAUUUUGUAUGAGAAUGGUAGGAAUGGUUUUCAACCCUUAGAUCAAAAUGAAUGAUCAAGAUUAAAAGGACAAAUUGAUUUGCACGUGUCUUUGUCUUCCGCAAGUCCAGAACUAAAAGCACAUCAUUUCUUUUUAUGAACCACCACUCUAGAUCUCACCCCAGAGGAAUAACCCGGCUACCGGCUGCACCAAACCAACCAAUGGACCACAAUAAAUUAUAUAUGCCACCCAUGACAUGAACAUUAUAACCUUUGAUUUUAUUUUUUGUAGUUGAAUUCGAGGCACAACCUACUUACAAAGCUAUAAUGUAGAAGGAAGCAUGUAACAUCUUCUACUAUAGGGUAAUCCUUCAAUAACUAAUUUGAAAGUCUUGUGAUUUAAGUUAAACAAAGGGAUUUACAUAUUCUUGGAGGUUGACAUGAGUGCAUUGAAGCAAAUGGGAGAAAAAUCAAAAAUGGCCUCAUAGAGCUUGCAAUUCUUAUGGUAAUUGUCAUCAAUUUGUGGCUUAUGUUCAAAUGCCUAUUACAGAGCAUAUGUUACAAAUACUUUGGUUGGUUGAUCGCAUGAAAAUUAAUAAGGUAAAUAACCAUUGUAUUCAAAUAUAAGCAUCAAGAAGAAUAAACUUUGACAUAGACAUCCGACACGACACAUAUACUCAUACGUCGACACCACUAAUUUAAAAAACACAUGACACCGACAUCGCUACAUAUUUUUUUAUUUAUUUAUGAAAAAUUAAAAUUGAUAAUCAGUUUAUUUAUGUGUGCAUCUAAAUUUAUCAAUUUAUUUCAUUUUAAAAAAAAGUUCUAAACAAAAUUAAAAUAGGAUAGUUUUUAACAUUUUAUUUAUAUUUAUCCAUCUACUAUAAAAAAAAAAAAAAAAAAAACUAAAAAUGUUCUAAUCAAAUUUAAUUUCUUUGACCCCUCAUUGAAUAACAAUGAUCCUUCACAACAUUUUUAACUCUUGUAAAUGUGUUUGAGAUAUAUCUUUAAGGCUUUGUUUCAGAAUUUGGAGGGGAGAAAAAUGAAGACUUUGGAGGGUUGGAAAUAUAUAGGAAAAUGGUAAAAUCUUUCACAUUUUCUGAAAGAGUAAUUUUUUAGAGAAUGAUAAAUCAAUGCUUAUGAUUAAUAUUUUUUUAAUUUUAAAAAUAUUAUAACUACAUGUAUUAAAUUUGAAAAAUUCAUGUAAACCCUCCAGAACCCCUUAAAACCAUGAGGGUUUUGUAGUAUGAAGAAAAAUGAACGCCCCAAAGCCUUUCCCUCUUAAUGUCAUCUAUUUUUUCCACUUGCCCUUUCUUUUUUUCCAUAAAGAAUUUUUUUUUGAAACAAAGUGUCAAAAAACUUUUUUUGUCAUACAAGUGUGAUUCGGGUGUCGAACACCUCUAUCCAAAGAGUUCCAAAUAAAUAGUAAAUAUUUUUUGGAUACUUGUAUGAUAUUUUUUGACACGUUUCAAACAAAUGUCAUAUGAGUGUUGGAAAUCGAUGUGUAUCGGACACCGCGACACGUCUGAGCUUAUGGGUGUCAGUGGUUCAUAUAUUAAUACAAAUUUAAUCUAAACUUGGAUCCCCUAAUUUGUAUUUUUUUUUACAAACCUUGAGUUAUACUUUGUGCUUCGAGUUAGUUAUUAAAACUAUAUUUGCGUCCUUCCUUCCCUAUUUCAUUCUCACUCCUAUUUUACUGGAUUUUAGCUUAUGGUACUUGUUAUUUAGGAGAUGCUGGAGAAAUGAUGAAGGGACAAAAGAGGAUAUAUAUAAUUUUGAUUUGAAUAUAUUUGUGAAUAAUGGGGAGAUUUUAGUAUUAAGGUGAAAGAUUGAUAGAAAUAGGCAGAAAAUGGUAACCAAACAAAUUUUCAAUUCAAGGAAGAUGUAUUGCUUCGUAGAGGAUCGCCACAAGAAACGUGGUUUUUUGAUAAGAUAAAUUCAUGGUUCAAUCUAGAACCCAAAAGAAGUAAAGCUUCCAAAUUCACAUAAAGUGACAUUUUUUCUUAUCAAAAUUCAUCUGCCUUACGUAUCAUUUUCGUGCUCUAUUUAUAUGAUUUUAUUACAUGAUGAUUUUGAUUCUAAAACUCUUAGAAAAUAAAAGGAAAUGCAUCUAUUAAUUGCAAAUUUGCAAUAAUGUUUUGCUGGCUGAUUAAGACAAGGAAGACUACACUUUAGAUAGACUUUUAGUUGGUUGAUUUUAUUUUCAGUUGUAUGCUUCAGUCAAUCCCCUCAAUUUCACCUCCUUAUAGUCAUCGUUAAGUGCUGGAUUGAAUGCUCGUUCCUUCCUUUUUUCAGCUCUUUAUUUGAAUCACGUCUGAAACUUCAAGCCCAUUUUUUACAG
rnacentral:lncRNA from 1 species